UACGUAGGGUGCAAGCGUUGUCCGGAAUUAUUGGGCGUAAAGAGCUCGUAGGCGGUCUGUCGCGUCGGAUGUGAAAAUCCAGGGCUCAACCCUGGACCUGCAUUCGAUACGGGCAGACUAGAGUUCGGUAGGGGAGACUGGAAUUCCUGGUGUAGCGGUGAAAUGCGCAGAUAUCAGGAGGAACACCGGUGGCGAAGGCGGGUCUCUGGGCCGAAACUGACACUGAGACGCGAAAGCGUGGGGAGCGAACAGG
rnacentral:rRNA from 1 species